GUCCAGCUAACGAAUCCCAAAUAGGACGAAACUUGCGUCCUGGAU
rfam:Schistosoma rodhaini strain Burundi genome assembly, scaffold: SROB_scaffold0024852